rnacentral:tRNA from 1 species
AAAAUAAAAUAUAUAUGCGUUCGGGGGGAAUCGAACCCCCGUCGAAUGCUUGGAAGGCAUCCAUGCUGACCAUUACACCACGAACGCGCUGUUUUCCU